rnacentral:rRNA from 1 species
CGAAGGUGCAAGCGUUACUCGGAAUUACUGGGCGUAAAGCGUGCGUAGGUGGUUGUUAAGUCUGUUGUGAAGCCCUGGGCUCAACCUGGGAAUUGCAAUGGAUACUGGGCGACUAGAGUGUGGUAGAGGACAGUGGAAUUUCCGGUGUAGCAGUGAAAUGCGUAGAGAUCGGAAGGAACAUCUGUGGCGAAGGCGACUGUCUGGGCCAACACUGACACUGAGGCACGAAAGCGUGGGAGCAAACAGGAUU